rnacentral:rRNA from 1 species
CCUACGGGUGGCAGCAGUGGGGAAUAUUGGACAAUGGGCGAAAGCCUGAUCCAGCCAUGCCGCGUGUGUGAAGAAGGCCUUCGGGUUGUAAAGCACUUUCAGUGGGGAAGAAAGCCUUGGGGCUAAUACCCUCGAGGAAGGACAUCACCCACAGAAGAAGCACCGGCUAACUCCGUGCCAGCAGCCGCGGUAAUACGGAGGGUGCGAGAGUUAAUCGGAAUUACUGGGCGUAAAGCGCGCGUAGGCGGUCUGAUAAGCCGGUUGUGAAAGCCCCGGGCUCAACCUGGGAACGGCAUCCGGAACUGUCAGGCUAGAGUGCAGGAGAGGAAGGUAGAAUUCCCGGUGUAGCGGUGAAAUGCGUAGAGAUCGGGAGGAAUACCAGUGGCGAAGGCGGCCUUCUGGACUGACACUGACGCUGAGGUGCGAAAGCGUGGGUAGCAAACAGGAUUAGAUACCCGGGUAGUC